rnacentral:rRNA from 1 species
UACGUAGGUGACAAGCGUUGUCCGGAUUUACUGGGCGUAAAGAGCGCGCAGGCGGUCGUUCAAGUAGCGUGUGAAAGCCCCCGGCUCAACCGGGGAGGGUCACGCGAUACUGAUCGACUCGAAGGCAGGAGAGGGUAGUGGAAUUCCCGGUGUAGUGGUGAAAUGCGUAGAUAUCGGGAGGAACACCAGUGGCGAAGGCGACUACCUGGCCUGUUCUUGACGCUGAGGCGCGAAAGCUAGGGGAGCAAACGGG